UGUUUGGAUUGCAAGACUGACUAGGAGCAAGUAUAUAAAGAGAAACGUCCCUCCUGAUUUUAAAGUUUCCCAGGACAAUUUUAAGAUUUAUUGCACAUCCCAAAGAGUAGAAUGAACUUCAUUUACCUGUGCUUACUUCUUGUUCUGGUCAUCCUGACAAUCUAUGUGAUGGGAUCUUUUGCUAUUCCUGGGAGGUGGCAUAGAAGAUGGUCCCAUUCAAGCAGCGGUAGCGGAUCUAGCAGCCACAGUUGAUGAUUUGAAGAGAUAUGGGAUCGGAAAACGAAGAAAGAAAUAAAUACUGAUUUUUUUCCGAAAAAGUUGUGAUGCACUAAUUAUGAUAUUUUCCUUUGUUCGAUUGAUUUGCUAAUUACAGAAAAUAAAGAAUGAUCCUUUA